CUAAAAUUUUUCCCACUCUGCUUCUAUUCUAGAUAGAAACUACAAUUUGCCUGAGGCAAUGAGGUGGUGGCAAUCACACAGCAGAGGCUGCGUGAAUGGGCCCGUCCAAGCCAGCCCUACCGCCUGACAAGGAAGGUCUCACAGACAUUGCUUGGGAGGGAGAUUUUUUUUCUCUCUUCCCAUCUAGGUAGAGAAGACUUCAUUCGCAUGACGCCCCCUCCACCCCCGCCGCCAUCUUCCAGCGACAAGACAUCCCUUUCUUCCCCUUCGCUUCUUGUCUCCGAAGCCGCUUGCUCUGCAGUGUCCUGGAACACACCAAGGGUUUGCUUGUCAGUUCCUUGCAGCUGCCAGCGCCCCUUUCCUCCUGUGUGAUAAACACGUCCAAAUCACUCAUAUUCUCCAAGGAAGUCUUCCCUCAGGCCUGCCUCCCUGGAGCUAUGGGCGCGCGCCUGCCUGCUUGCUUUCCUCGGUCCGCACGUUGACACCAUCUACCCGGCUUGUCAUGACCCGGAGUCUCCACUGCCAUCACAGCCAACUCGGGGUUCUGCUCUACUCACUCCAGGGCAGUCAUCUCUGCUGUCUAAUACUCAGGCCCAGGGGCCCUCGCUGUCCCUUCCCUGUCCACCACUGGGCAAGAGAGGAUGAGGAUGGUCAAGGUCUUCUGACAUAACAUGACAGCUGGGGUUGAAGUCUCCCUCCAAAGGGUUGCAAGAAAUCACCAGCUCAAGGUCAGUCACUGUGGAGCAGAGUCAUUUAUUGUAUCUUCGCUUUGGGACCAUUCACUGAGGAGGCUCAGGUACUUAACACAAUCAAAGUGAACUGACUUUCAGCUGGCUAUCACGUUGCAGCAGCUAGAUACCUCUCUCCACUGUAAAUAACAAAAAAAAAAU
rnacentral:lncRNA from 1 species